rnacentral:pre_miRNA from 1 species
AAAUAAAAUGCUAGAUGACAUAGUAAUUCUAUUUUUAACUUUUCAAGGAAUUCCCAUACUGUUUUUCAUAGUCGUUGUACCAUUUUUCUUUCUACCAACAUU